rnacentral:rRNA from 1 species
UUUCGCAAUGCCCGAAAGGGUGACGAAGCGACGCCGCGUGUGGGAAGAAGGCCUUCGGGUUGUAAACCACUGUCGGGAGUUAAGAAAUGUAAGGGUGUUAAUAGCAUUCUUACUUGACUAAGGCUCCGGAGGAAGCCACGGCUAACUCUGUGCCAGCAGCCGCGGUAAUACAGAGGCGGCAAGCGUUGUUCGGAAUUAUUGGGCGUAAAGAGCACGUAGGCGGCUAUGUAAGUCGGUUGUGAAAGCCUUCCGCUCAACGGGAGAACAGCAUCCGAUACUGCAUGGCUUGAGUGCGGGAGGGGAGAGUGGAACUUCUGGUGGAGCGGUGAAAUGCGUAGAUAUCAGAAGGAACGCCGGCGGCGAAAGCGGCUCUCUGGCCCAUAACUGACGCUGAGUGUGCGAAAGCUAGGGGAGCAAACGGGAUUAGAUACCCCGGUAGUCCUAGCCGUAAACGAUGGGCACUAAGUAGAGGGGUUUU